rnacentral:lncRNA from 1 species
UGAGGUCAACCGGAGAAGAUAAUCGGAGUCCUAGCUCUGGUGAUAUGGUGGCUUGUUCUUAUCCAUCAAAUCUUCUCUCCACAUUCUAAUCCUGAUCAUCCAUUGUGUUUACCAUGUUUUUGGCGCAGUUGACUUAAGCGCAUCAUACACCCUAGCGCGUGGCCAUCAGAUUUGUCACCUCAAUUAAUGAGGGAGAUCUAAUGACCCUUUUUUUUCUAUUUUCUUUUUGAUUUCUG